CUACGGGGUGCAGCAGGCGCGAAAACUUUACAAUGCGGGAAACCGUGAUAAGGGAACUCCGAGUGUCCGUAAAUGCGGACUGUCCGUAUGUCUAAAAAGCAUGCGAAGAAAGGGCCGGGCAAGACCGGUGCCAGCCGCCGCGGUAAUACCGGCGGCUCGAGUGGUGGCCACUAUUACUGGGCUUAAAGCGUUCGUAGCUGGGUCGUUAAGUCUCUUGGGAAAUCUACCGGCUUAACCGAUAGGCGUCCAAGGGAUACUGGCGAUCUAGGGACCGGGAGAGGUGAGGGGUACUUCAGGGGUAGGAGUGAAAUCCUGUAAUCCUUGGGGGACCACCUGUGGCGAAGGCGCCUCACCAGAACGGCUCCGACAGUGAGGGACGAAAGCUGGGGGAGCAAACCGGAUUAGAUACCCGGGUAGUCCCAGCCGUAAACGAUGCGCGUUAGGUGUAUCGAUGACCACGAGUCAUCGAGGUGCCGAAGGGAAACCGUGAAACGCGCCGCCUGGGAAGUACGGUCGCAAGGCUGAAACUUAAAGGAAUUGGCGGGGGAGCACCACAACAGGUGGAGCCUGCGGUUUAAUCGGACUCAACGCCGGAAAUCUCACCGGAUAAGACAGCUGAAUGAUAGUCGGGCUGAAGACUCUACUUGACUANCUGAGAGGUAGUGCAUG
rnacentral:rRNA from 1 species